AUGGCUGAGCUGUUAAACCGUUCCCGUGGCUUGGCAGAAGGAGUGGUGGUUAUGAUAUGCCCAGUGCUUCUUGCACUGGCUCUGAACAUAGUGGAUCUCAAUGGCAAGGUGUAUGGUCAUGGUGUCCCCUUCGCCAUGAUCACCAUGGCAGGCUUUACUUUGAUUACCAGCAUUUGCCCCUUGCUGGUGUGUUUCUUCUCGGAGGGAUUCCCUGGCUGGCGCGUAAGUCUUGCCCCUGUAACAACGAUUCUGGCAACCCUUUCAUCUUGUUGCCUUAUCGUCCUUGCUUGCUUGAUUGCACAAUCCAUUGUCUCCAAAUCCAUUUUUAUCACCGUUGGACUCAUCUGUGGAAUCUUGGUCCUUGUUCGAAUUGUCUGCUACAACAUGUAUGACACACGGAACAACGAUGGGCGGGAAUACACAAUAGAUAUGCACAAUGUGCUAGAUGAAUCACAUGAGUUCCUGAUCGGUGUCACUGGAAUUAUGUUUCUAUGGUUCGAAGGUCUAGCACUCGAUGGUCAUGGCCAGACGGGUCACACGAGCAGGCAAUCAGUGGGCUAUAUUAGUUUCAUCAUCUGCACAUUUGGCGUGUGCUUAAUGUUUCUGGAGAUGACACCACCUCAAUGGUUUGCGGUACAUAGGCAUGGUAGCCCUGAAGAAAGGAUUGAAAGAGAGCAACAAAUUGUGUGUUUAACACUCAUCCUAGACGGCAUCAUGGCGGUUGGUAUCUUCGUACUAUUGUUGGUUGUCAUGCGUAAGCUCACGCCUCUUGAGGUUGCCCUAUUGGUCUUACUGCCACCAGCUGUAAGCUUUGGUCAACUUCUAGUCCUAGUCGUGUUGGAGGUGAACACAGAAGUUGAACAGGAAUCUGGGCCAGCAUCACUAGAACUUACAAAGGUCACCUUCACUGGAUUUUUGGCCGUGUCGAUAACAACCAGCAGCACCGCUUCGUCCAGCAGCUUGACUGGAUCUUUCCUUCUAUUAUCUUCCAUGGCUAUUGGGUUUGGUCUUUCGUGGAGGCUCCUUUCACAGGCUAACAUAAGGAGAGGUCUCUCCAGUUGUGUUUCAUCCGCUCAUGUUGCUUCUGCUGCCAAGGUUGCUUCCUUUUGUACACAUUUAUGUAUUGUAAUAUCUACAAUUCUACUUGUAGCAAUGGCUUGUAAUGCGAGUGGUAAAUGA
rnacentral:rRNA from 1 species